rnacentral:rRNA from 1 species
CACGUAGGGCGCAAGCGUUGUCCGGAAUUAUUGGGCGUAAAGAGCUCGUAGGCGGUCUGUUGCGUCCGCUGUGAAAACUCGGGGCUUAACCCCGAGCCUGCAGUGGAUACGGGCAGACUAGAGGUAGGUAGGGGAGAAUGGAAUUCCCGGUGUAGCGGUGAAAUGCGCAGAUAUCGGGAGGAACACCGGUGGCGAAGGCGGGUCUCUGGGCCGUAACUGACGCUCAGGUGCGAAAGCUAGGGGAGCGAACAGG